GCCUGCAACCACACUACCUUGUGCUGUGAUCUUGUCAGAUCUCAUAAAUUAAGCAGCCUCUAGCUGUACCUGGAAGAGCUAUCUGCGAGCCAAUCCAAGUUGCUGCAUGAA
rnacentral:rRNA from 1 species